rnacentral:misc_RNA from 1 species
GGCGCACGGGUGAGUAAUGUAUAGCUAAUCUGCCCCAUAGUGGAGGACAACAGUUGGAAACGACUGCUAAUACUCCAUACUCCAUUUAUAUAUAAGUAUAAAUGGGAAAGUCGAACCCUAUAUAUUGUUUAUUUAUCAAAUACCUACGGCGCAACCGAAAGUUGCGGUGUGCUUUAGGUGGGUCAAGGGAGCGUAGCUCCUUGUCGCAAAGACGGACUUUGUUCGUCUGCGAAGUAAAUAAUAUAUAGGGUUUCUCGCUAUGGGAUGAGGCUAUAUCGUAUCAGCUAGUUGG